UUACCUACCUGGCAGGGGAGAUACCUUGAUCCAGUAGGAGGUUUUCCCAGGGUGAGGCUCGCCCCUUGCACUCCAGGCGUGCUGACCCCUGCGAUUUCCCCAAAUGCGGGAAACUCGACUGCAUAAUUUGUGGUAGUGGGGGACUGCGUUCUUUCUUUCUGAGGCCCUCC
rnacentral:snRNA from 1 species